rnacentral:rRNA from 1 species
GAUGAACGCUGGCGGCGUGCCUAAUACAUGCAAGUCGAGCGAACGGACGAGAAGCUUGCUUCUCUGAUGUUAGCGGCGGACGGGUGAGUAACACGUGGAUAACCUACCUAUAAGACUGGGAUAACUUCGGGAAACCGUAGCUAAUACCGGAUAAUAUUUUGAACCGCAUGGUUCAAAAGUGAAAGACGGUCUUGCUGUCACUUAUAGAUGGAUCCGUGCUGCAUUAGCUAGUUGGUAAGGUAACGGCUUACCAAGGCAACGAUGCAUAGCCGACCUGAGAGGGUGAUCGGCCACACUGGAACUGAGACACGGUCCAGACUCCUACGGGAGGCAGCAGUAGGGAAUCUUCCGCAAUGGGCGAAAGCCUGACGGAGCAACGCCGCGUGAGUGAUGAAGGUCUUCGGAUCGUAAAACUCUGUUAUUAGGGAAGAACAUAUGUGUAAGUAACUAUGCACGUCUUGACGGUACCUAAUCAGAAAGCCACGGCUAACUACGUG